AGAGUUUGAUCAUGGCUCAGGACGAACGCUGGCGGCGUGCCUAAUACAUGCAAGUCGAGCGAGCUUGCCUAGAUGAAUUUGGUGCUUGCACCAAAUGAAACUAGAUACAAGCGAGCGGCGGACGGGUGAGUAACACGUGGGUAACCUGCCCAAGAGACUGGGAUAACACCUGGAAACAGAUGCUAAUACCGGAUAACAACACUAGACGCAUGUCUAGAGUUUAAAAGAUGGUUCUGCUAUCACUCUUGGAUGGACCUGCGGUGCAUUAGCUAGUUGGUAAGGUAACGGCUUACCAAGGCAAUGAUGCAUAGCCGAGUUGAGAGACUGAUCGGCCACAUUGGGACUGAGACACGGCCCAAACUCCUACGGGAGGCAGCAGUAGGGAAUCUUCCACAAUGGACGCAAGUCUGAUGGAGCAACGCCGCGUGAGUGAAGAAGGGUUUCGGCUCGUAAAGCUCUGUUGGUAGUUGAAGAAAGAUAGAGGUUAGUAACUGGCCUUUAUUUGACGGUAAUUACCUUAGAAAGUCACGGCUAACUACGUGCCAGCAGCCGCGGUAAUACGUAGGUGGCAAGCGUUGUCCGGAUUUAUUGGGCGUAAAGCGAGUGCAGGCGGUUCAAUAAGUCUGAUGUGAAAGCCUUCGGCUCAACCGGAGAAUUGCAUCAGAAACUGUUGAACUUGAGUGCAGAAGAGGAGAGUGGAACUCCAUGUGUAGCGGUGGAAUGCGUAGAUAUAUGGAAGAACACCCAGUGGCGAAGGCGGCUCUCUGGUCUGCAACUGACGCUGAGGCUCGAAAGCAUGGGUAGCGAACAGGAUUAGAUACCCUGGUAGUCCAUGCCGUAAACGAUGAGUGCUAAGUGUUGGGAGGUUUCCGCCUCUCAGUGCUGCAGCUAACGCAUUAAGCACUCCGCCUGGGGAGUACGACCGCAAGGUUGAAACUCAAAGGAAUUGACGGGGGCCCGCACAAG
rnacentral:rRNA from 1 species